ACCUGGCUGGCUCAGUCAGUAGAGCAUGCGACUCUUGAUCUUGGGGUCAUGAGUUCAAACCCCAUGUUGGGUC
rnacentral:tRNA from 1 species